rnacentral:rRNA from 1 species
CCUACGGGAGGCAGCAGUGAGGAAUAUUGGUCAAUGGACGAGAGUCUGAACCAGCCAAGUAGCGUGAAGGAUGACUGCCCUAUGGGUUGUAAACUUCUUUUAUAUGGAAAUAAAAUGUUCCACGUGUGGGAUUUUGUAUGUACCAUAUGAAUAAGGAUCGGCUAACUCCGUGCCAGCAGCCGCGGUAAUACGGAGGAUCCGAGCGUUAUCCGGAUUUAUUGGGUUUAAAGGGAGCGUAGGUGGAUUGUUAAGUCAGUUGUGAAAGUUUGCGGCUCAACCGUAAAAUUGCAGUUGAUACUGGCAGUCUUGAGUACAGUAGAGGUGGGCGGAAUUCGUGGUGUAGCGGUGAAAUGCUUAGAUAUCACGAAGAACUCCGAUUGCGAAGGCAGUUCACUGGACUGCAACUGACACUGAGGCUCGAAAGUGUGGGUAUCAAACAGGAUUAGAUACCCGAGUAGUC